AAGAAUGGCGCAACUGCGACAGAUCACAUCGUCCUCGGAUAUUACAACCAUGUAUCUGAGAGAAAAAAAAUGAUUUCUUUUGUAAUCUUCCGUUACUUUAUAGAACAAUCGUAUGUCUUUGGAAAUUCAACCAGAACUGAGAAUAUGAAAGAAAAGUAAAAAAAAAAUAUGAAGAGAGAACAGAAGAAACACAGAAAUAUUAUGUAGAAAAUAAAAAAAUGUGUAAUUUUUUA